rnacentral:rRNA from 1 species
AGUGAACGCUGGCGGCAGGCCUAAUACAUGCAAGUCGAACGGCAGCACUGUAAGAGCUUGCCCUUACGGGUGGCGAGUGGCGGACGGGUGAGGAAUACAUCGGCAUCUACUUUUUCGUGGGGGAUAACGUAGGGAAACUUCCGCUACUACAGCAUACGUCCUACGGGUGAAAUCAGGGGAUCAUCGGACCUUGCGCGAUUGAAUGAGCCGAUGUCGGAUUAGCUAGUUGGUGGGGUAAAGGCCCACCAAGGCGACGAUCCGUAGCUGGUCUGGGAGGAUGAUCAGCCACACUGGAACUGGAACACGGUCCAAACUCCUACGGGGGGCAGCGGUGGGGAAUAUUGGACAAUGGGCGCAAGCCUGAUCCAGCCAUACCGCGUGGGUGAAGAAGGCCUUCGGGUUGUAAAGCCCUUUUGUUGGGAAAGAAAAGCAGGAGAGUAAAACCCCGCUGUUCUGACGGUACCCAAAGAAUAAGCACCGGCUAACUUCGUG